GAGAGACUGCAUGAAUGCACUUUUAUUGAAACCAUGGUCUCAUAUACAGAUGCCUCGUAUGAGACUGAUGCAUGCAAGGCCACUCCUCUUUUACUAGGCAUCAGUCCAAAAGAGGCACAGAGGCCAUGGCACAGAGGCCAUGCCUCCAUCACUAGGUUCAGAGGACAUACCUCUCUAAAUUAUGACUGUAGGUACAGCGGACAUGCGUCCUUCACUAGGACUGACAGGUACAGAGGACACACCUCCUUCACUAGGACUGACAGGUACAGAGGACACACCUCCUUCACUAGGACUGACAGGUACAGAGGACACGCCUCCUUCAUUAAGACUGGCAGGUACAGAGGACAUGCCUCCUUCAAUCGGACGGACAGAUACAGAGGACACACCUCCUUCACUAGGACGGACACAUACAGAGGACACGCCUCCUUCACUAGGACGGACAGAUACAGAGGACACACCUUCACUAAGACUGACAGGUACAGAGGACACACCUCCUUCAAUAGGACAGACAGAUACAGAGGACACACCUCCUUCACUAGGACGGACACAUACAGAGGACACGCCUCCUUCACUAGGACGGACAGAUACAGAGGACACACCUCCUUCACUAAGACUGACAGGUACAGAGGACACACCUCCUUCACUAUACCUGAAAGGUACAGAUGACACGCCUCCUUAACUAGGACUGACAGGUACAGAGGACAUGCCUCUCUCACUUUGACUGACAGGUACAGAGGACACACCUCCUUCGCUAGGACUGACAGGUACAGACAUAUAGGCCACACCUCCUUCACUGUACAGGACAGCUGUAAGGCCAUGCCCCCUUUGUGGGACUGACAGACAUUUAGGCCACACCUCUUUCACAGUUGACAGAUAUAUAGACCAUGCCUUUUUAAGUGGGCUGAAUCAGUUUUUAUACUCCUACUAUAAAAUGUUUGAUCACCACAAGAACAAUGACACAGUGUAAGGUGCGUUUCACACGAACCCACACACAUUACCGGGGUGUGUAUGCUGUGCAUGCUGAAUGCGUGAUGAAGUCAACACUAAACACUCAAAAAAAAGUUAGCACAACUUGUGAAAUAAAAUAAUUCAGUACACGUCUCCCUAUGACCCCAAAUUGUCUCUGUAGUGAUGAGGCUAAGAUGUCCACGGCAUAUCGUCAUAUUGUCUACAUACAUUCACUGGCCACUUUAAUAGGAAUACCUGUACACGUGCUCAUUCAUGCAAUUAUCCAAUCAGCCAAUCAGGUUCCAG
ensembl:lncRNA